rnacentral:rRNA from 1 species
GCCUAACACAUGCAAGUCGAACGCGAAAGGCAGUAAUGUCGAGUAGAGUGGCGCACGGGUGAGUAACACGUAAAUAAUCUAUAAUAAUCACUGGGAUAACCGUUCGAAAGGAUGGCUAAUACUGGAUAAGCUCACGAUACGAGAGUGUUGAGAGAAAAGGAUUGGGACCUAAAGGCCAAUCGGAUUGAGAAGAGUUUGCGUCCCAUCAGGUAGUUGGCGGGGUAAGAGCCCACCAAGCCGAAGACGGGUAGCUGGUCUGAGAGGAUGAUCAGCCACACUGGAACUGAGACACGGUCCAGACUCCUACGGGAGGCAGCAGUGGGGAAUCUUGCGCAAUGGACGAAAGUCUGACGCAGCAACGCCGCGUGGGUGAUGAAGGUCUUCGGAUCGUAAAGCCCUGUCGGAAGAGAAAAUGGUUUUGUAUAAUAAUAAGAUAUGAAAUUGAUGGUAUCUUUAAAGGAAGCACCGGCUAACUCUGUGCCAGCAG